GAUGAACGCUGGCGGCGUGCCUAAUACAUGCAAGUCGAGCGAACGGACGAGAAGCUUGCUUCUCUGAUGUUAGCGGCGGACGGGUGAGUAACACGUGGACAACCUACCUAUAAGACUGGGAUAACUUCGGGAAACCGGAGCUAAUACCGGAUAAUAUUUUGAACCGCAUGGUUCAAAAGUGAAAGACGGUCUUGCUGUCACUUAUAGAUGGAUCCGCGCUGCAUUAGCUAGUUGGUAAGGUAACGGCUUACCAAGGCAACGAUGCAUAGCCGACCUGAGAGGGUGAUCGGCCACACUGGAACUGAGACACGGUCCAGACUCCUACGGGAGGCAGCAGUAGGGAAUCUUCCGCAAAGGGCGAAAGCCUGACGGAGCAACGCCGCGUGAGUGAUGAAGGUCUUCGGAUCGUAAAACUCUGUUAUUAGGGAAGAACAUAUGUGUAAGUAACUGUGCACAUCUUGACGGUACCUAAUCAGAAAGCCACGGCUAACUACGUG
rnacentral:rRNA from 1 species